AUUGAACGCUGGCUGCAUGCCUUACACAUGCAAGUCGAACGGUAACGGGCCUUCGGGUGCCGACGAGUGGCGAACGGGUGAGUAAUGUAUCGGAACGUACCUUUCAGUGGGGGAUAACGUAGCGAAAGUUACGCUAAUACCGCAUAUUCUGUGCGCAGGAAAGCAGGGGAUCGCAAGACCUUGCGCUGAUUGAGCGGCCGAUAUCAGAUUAGCUAGUUGGUGAGGUAAAGGCUCACCAAGGCGACGAUCUGUAGCGGGUCUGAGAGGAUGAUCCGCCACACUGGAACUGAGACACGGUCCAGACUCCUACGGGAGGCAGCAGUGGGGAAUUUUGGACAAUGGGGGCAACCCUGAUCCAGCCAUGCCGCGUGAGUGAAGAAGGCCUUCGGGUUGUAAAGCUCUUUCGGCCGGGAAGAAAUCGUAUGGGCUAAUACCCUGUGCGGAUGACGGUACCGGCAUAAGAAGCACCGGCUAACUACGUGCCAGCCGCCGCCGUAAGAC
rnacentral:rRNA from 1 species